rnacentral:rRNA from 1 species
AGUCUAGGCGGUUUGGUAAGUGGGAUGUGAAAUUCCCGGGCUCACCCCGGGACCUGCAUCCCAAACUGCUGAGCUUGAGUACAGGAGAGGGUGGGGGAAUUCCAGGUGUAGCGGUGAAAUGCGUAGAUAUCUGGAGGAACACCGGUGGCGAAGGCGCCCACCUGGCCUGCUACUGACGCUGAAGCUCGAAAGCUAGGGGAGCAAACG